GUCUUUGUAUUCUAGCGGUUAUGAUUUUUCCUUCACACGGAAGAGGUCCGCGGUUCGAACCCGCGCGAAGACA
rnacentral:tRNA from 3 species